rnacentral:rRNA from 1 species
CGCUGGCGGCGUGCUUAACACAUGCAAGUCGAACGGGAUCCCGGGGGUUCGCUCCCGGGUGAGAGUGGCGAACGGGUGAGUAAUGCGUGACCGACCUGCCCCAUACACCGGAAUAGCUCCUGGAAACGGGUGGUAAUGCCGGAUGCUCCGGUUGGAUGCAUGUCCUUCCGGGAAAGAUUCUAUCGGUAUGGGAUGGGGUCGCGUCCUAUCAGCUUGAUGGCGGGGUAACGGCCCACCAUGGCUUCGACGGGUAGCCGGCCUGAGAGGGCGACCGGCCACAUUGGGACUGAGAUACGGCCCAGACUCCUACGGGAGGCAGCAGUGGGGAAUAUUGCACAAUGGGCGCAAGCCUGAUGCAGCGACGCCGCGUGCGGGAUGGAGGCCUUCGGGUUGUAAACCGCUUUUGAUCGGGAGCAAGCCCUUCGGGG